rnacentral:rRNA from 1 species
GUGCCAGCAGCCGCGGUAAUACGGAGGGUGCAAACGUUGCUCGGAAUCAUUGGGCGUAAAGCGCACGUAGGUGGCCUGUUAAGUCGGGUGUGAAAUCCCUGGGCUCAACCCAGGAAGUGCACUCGAAACUGGCGGGCUUGAGUACUGAAGAGGGUCGCGGAAUUCCCGGUGUAGAGGUGAAAUUCGUAGAUAUCGGGAGGAACACCAGUGGCGAAGGCGGCGACCUGGGCAGAUACUGACACUGAGGUGCGAAAGCGUGGGGAGCAAACAGGAUUAGAAACCCGCGUAGUCC